ACUUAAUCUUCGAUGAUUUAUGAGAUUUUCUUUUUGCGUAUAAAAAUUCAAACACUAAAUUUUUAUUCGGAAGAAAAAAUAAAAUAAUUAUGAGAGUA
rnacentral:miRNA from 1 species